AGAAAUCGAUCCUUGUGCGGAAGGAAAUGGAGGUUGCGCCCAUCUUUGCUUCAAAUCUAACUUCUCUAUCCGGUGCGACUGUCAUUUUGGAUAUGUGCUGAAAGAAGACGGGAAGUUAUGUGAAAAAUUAGACCCUUGCUCUCAUAAGAAUGGAGGAUGUGAUCAGAUCUGCCAGUCACGAAACGAUGAGCCAGUAUGCAGCUGUAGGACGGGCUAUGAUCUGCGACGAGAUGGAAAAACUUGCAAAAAAUUAAAUCCUUGUAAAUGGAAAAAUGGUGGCUGCGAACAAUUUUGUCACUUUGAAAAUGGAUCCAUCCGCUGCGAAUGUCGUUCGGGAUAUUCUCUGCAAGAAGAUGGAUACUCAUGUAAAAGAAUCAAUCCGUGUGAACGAGAAAACGGAGGCUGUGAGCAGCUCUGUCGUUAUGAAGCUGAAGUUUUAAGCUGCGAAUGCAGAGAAGGAUAUCUUUUGCAAGUUGAUGGAAAGUCCUGCAAAAG